UGCAUUGGCCGAGAAUCGAACCCAGGCCGCCCGCGUGGCAGGCAAGCAUUCUACCACUGAACCACCGAUGC
rnacentral:tRNA from 1 species